ACAAACGCGCCGUGAACGCAAACAAUCGCGACUCCAAUCAUCAGCGCCGACGUCAAAAGCGAUCCAACGCUCGUCAUAAACACGACAACGAUCGUAGACAAGACGAGAGCAAGGAGAGUCUCUCGAUCCGAGAAGGUGCGCCCGAAGACGACGAGCGGCUGAUCCGACGGACGGAAGAGGUAGAGGAACAUCCACCCGGCGAGGAGGCCGACGAGGACGAGGAGCGAGAGAGGAUGCGAGAAAAGCGAGAAGGCGAGGACGAGGGAGACGACGGCGACGUAGUUCACCUUGAAGUAGGCGAGAUUCUUCCGGAUCCGGGACAAGGCGUCGGUGAGGGAUUCAGGUCGCGCCAUGGAGCUCCGAUCGACGAGCUCCGCCCAGGGGCGGCGUUGCGAUAAGCCGUCGCGGAUCGAGGUGGAGAGGCGUGAGAAGAAGGUGAGAUUCUAACUCCAAAUUAUACAAACCAAAUGAUCAGAAAUAUAAUCAAAGCUAAAAUUGCUUCCAUGUGAUUAACAUUUAACAUCAUAACACAAAUCCCAAAUUAGAAGAUGAAACAACAACAAUUGUCAAGAGAAACCUCUCACCUCUUCUCUAAGUUUAAACUCUCGCCGCAACAGCUGAAGCCGCAGCCGAAGUAGCAGAGCCACCAAGGAAGGAGAGUAACCCAGCGUUAGCAGGCUCUUGAUCGUCCAUGAACAGAUCAUCCGGAACCACAAACGCGCCGUGAACGCAAACAAUCGCGACUCCAAUCAUCAGCGCCGACGUCAAAAGCGAUCCAACGCUCGUCAUAAACACGACAACGAUCGUAGACAAGACGAGAGCAAGGAGAGUCUCUCGAUCCGAGAAGGUGCGCCCGAAGACGACGAGCGGCUGAUCCGACGGACGGAAGAGGUAGAGGAACAUCCACCCGGCGAGGAGGCCGACGAGGACGAGGAGCGAGAGAGGAUGCGAGAAAAGCGAGAAGGCGAGGACGAGGGAGACGACGGCGACGUAGUUCACCUUGAAGUAGGCGAGAUUCUUCCGGAUCCGGGACAAGGCGUCGGUGAGGGAUUCAGGUCGCGCCAUGGAGCUCCGAUCGACGAGCUCCGCCCAGGGGCGGCGUUGCGAUAAGCCGUCGCGGAUCGAGGUGGAGAGGCGUGAGAAGAAGGUGCGGAAGGCGGGAGUGUUGAUUGGUGGCUGAGAUUGAACAGCUUGCUGAUUGGUGACGGGGAGGGUCGUCGGUGGAGUGGACAUGGCGGUGGCGCGUGAGGUUAGGUACGGCGAGAGGUUUGGAUCUUAAGAUUGGAAAACAAAGAAG
rnacentral:lncRNA from 1 species